rnacentral:tRNA from 1 species
UUUUACUUAGUAUAAAAAGUAUACUAAGCUUCCAACUUAGAGGUUUAAUUUAAGUGAAAA